rnacentral:rRNA from 1 species
CGUAGGAGGCAAGCGUUAUCCGGAUUCACUGGGCGUAAAGCGCGUGCAGGUGGCGCGGUAAGUUAGGCGUGAAAUCUCCCGGCCCAACUGGGAGAGGUCGUCUAAUACUACCGUGCUUGAGAGCAGAAGAGGAAGAUGGAAUUCCCGGUGUAGUGGUGAAAUGCGUAGAUAUCGGGAGGAACACCAGUGGCGAAGGCGAUCUUCUGGUCUUGUUUCUGACACUCAGACGCGACAGCGUAGGGUAGUAAACGGGAUUAGAGACCCCGGUAAUCCUAGCCGUAAACGAUGUGAACUUGGCGUUGGUGGGUUAAACUCCAUCAGUGCCGUAGCAAACGCGAUAAGUUCACCGCCUGGGGACUACGGCCGCAAGGUUA